UGGGGAAUCUUGCACAAUGGAGGAAACCCUGAUGCAGCGACGCCGCGUGAGCGAAGAAGCCUUUCGGGGUGUAAAGCUCUUACGCCAGGGACGAUAAUGACGGUACCUGGAGAAGCAGCUGCGGCUAACUACGUGCCAGCAGCCGCGGUAAUACGUAGGCAGCAAGCGUUGUUCGGAAUUACUGGGCGUAAAGGGUGCGUAGGCGGCGCUUUAAGUUUGGUGUGAAAUCUCCCGGCUCAACCGGGAGGGUGCACUGAAAACUGGGGCGCUCGAGUAUGGGAGAGGAAAGCGGAAUUCCUGGUGUAGCGGUGAAAUGCGUAGAGAUCAGGAGGAACACCCGCGGUGUAGACGGCUUUCUGGACCAUGACUGACGCUGAGGCACGAAAGCGUGGGGAGCAAACA
rnacentral:rRNA from 1 species